UACGUAGGGCGCAAGCGUUGUCCGGAAUUAUUGGGCGUAAAGAGCUCGUAGGUGGCUGGUCGCGUCUGCCGUGAAAGCCCGCAGCUUAACUGCGGGUCUGCGGUGGAUACGGGCCGGCUAGAGGUAGGCAGGGGCAAGUGGAAUUCCUGGUGUAGCGGUGAAAUGCGCAGAUAUCAGGAGGAACACCGGUGGCGAAGGCGGCUUGCUGGGCCUUACCUGACGCUGAGGAGCGAAAGCGUGGGGAGCGAACAGG
rnacentral:ncRNA from 3 species